rnacentral:rRNA from 1 species
UACGUAGGUGGCAAGCGUUGUCCGGAUUUACUGGGCGUAAAGAGCGCGCGGGCGGUCGGAUCAGUCGAAUGUGAAAGCCCCCGGCUCAACUGGGGAGGGUCAUUCGAUACUGUCCGACUCGAAGGCAGGAGAGGGAAGCGGAAUUCCCGGUGUAGUGGUGAAAUGCGUAGAUAUCGGGAGGAACACCAGUGGCGAAGGCGGCUUUCUGGCCUGUUCUUGACGCUGAGGCGCGAAAGCUAGGGGAGCGAACGGG